AUUGGAAUCUUUUCUAGCUGUUGUUGAACUUCGAUUGUACCUUUUUUUUUUUCAUUUUUUUUUUUCAUUAUUCGUGUCGCGACAUUUGCAUUUUCUGAUGCCCCUCUAGAGGCCCCAAAAAAAUUGAGAAAAUUAAUAUACAGACACAAGAAAGGGGAAAAAUGUAUAAUCGACGCUCAACAACAGCUACAUAAGAUUCCAAU
rnacentral:miRNA from 1 species